CGAGCACGCGCGUGUGGCAUAUCAAUAAGCGGAGGAAAAGAAACUAACAAGGAUUCCCCUAGUAACGGCGAGUGAAGCGGGAAGAGCUCAAAUUUGAAAUCUUCAAGGGUUUCCCUUGACGAAUUGUAGUUUAAAGAAGUGUUUUCUGUUAGAGAGGUGGCUAAAAGUUCUUUGGAAUAGGACAUCAUAGAGGGUGAGAAUCCCGUAUUUGGAUCAUUCUUUCUAACGUUGUGAUACACUUUCAACGAGUCGGAUUGUUUGGGAAUGCAGUCCAAAAUGGGUGGUAAAUUUCAUCUAAAGCUAAAUAUUGGCGAGAGACCGAUAGCGAACAAGUACCGUGAGGGAAAGAUGAAAAGAACUUUGAAGAGAGAGUUAAACAGUACGUGAAAUUGUCAAAAGGGAAGCGUUUGACACCAGUGUUGUUUUUCCGAAAAUCAAUUACUGAAUGGUUUGAUUUUAAGAGUUCAUGACCUUCAUCAGCUUGCUUCUUAUCUUUACGAUACUUUCGUAAUGCACUUUUCGGUUAACAAGUCAACAUCAAUUUCUUUUGUUGUAAAAGGUUAAUGAGGAAGGUGGCUUUACUUUCGGAGAAAGUGUUUAUAGCCUUGUACCUCUGCAAUCGGAGAGAUUGAGGUCUGCAGCGUAGAUCCUUCGGGGUUAGAUACAUUUGUGCUAAGUUAUAGCUUUUCAUAGACAACUUGUUGACUAUGUUAAGUCUUGUAGCUUACUCGCUGAUGCUAGUUUUACCUACGCUUAGGAUGUUGAUGUGAUACUGCGAGCA
rnacentral:rRNA from 1 species